GUGCCAGCAGCCGCGGUAAUACAGAGGGUGCAAGCGUUAAUCGGAAUUACUGGGCGUAAAGCGAGCGUAGGUGGCUUGAUAAGUCAGGUGUGAAAUCCCCGGGCUUAACCUGGGAACUGCAUCUGAUACUGUUGAGCUAGGGUAGGUGAGAGGAAGGUAGAAUUCCAGGUGUAGCGGUGAAAUGCGUAGAGAUCUGGAGGGAUACCGAUGGCGAAGGCAGCCUUCUGGCAUCAUACUGACACUGAGGCUCGAAAGCGCGGGUAGCAAACAGGAUUAGAUACCCUGGUAGUCCACGCCGUAAACGAUGUCUACUAGUCGUUGGGUCCCUUGAGGACUUAGUGACGCAGCUAACGCAAUAAGUAGACCGCCUGGGGAGUACGGCCGCAAGUUUAAAACUUAAAUGAAUUGACGG
rnacentral:rRNA from 1 species